rnacentral:tRNA from 1 species
UCCUAGUUAGCUAAGUUGGUAGAGCGCUCCACCGGAAGUGGGGAGGUCCCUGGUUUGAUUCCAGGACAAGGCG